rnacentral:rRNA from 1 species
GACAGAGGGGGCAAGCGUCGCUCGGAAUUACUGGGCGUAAAGGGCGCGUAGGCGGCCUUCUAAGUCGAACGUGAAAUCCCUGGGCUCAACCCAGGAACUGCGUCCGAUACUGGAAGGCUUGAAUCCGGGAGAGGGAUGCGGAAUUCCAGGUGUAGCGGUGAAAUGCGUAGAGAUCCGGAGGAACACCAGUGGCGAAGGCGACACGCUGGGCCGUACCUGACACUGAUGCGCGACAGCAUGGGGAGCAAACAGG